UACGGAGGGCGCAAGCGUUGUUCGGAAUUACUGGGCGUAAAGCGCGUGUAGGCGGUUCGGUAAGUCGGGUGUGAAAGGCCGGAGCUCAACUCCGGAAAUGCAUUCGAAACUGCCGGGCUAGAGUCUCGGAGGGGAGGGCAGAAUUCCCAGUGUAGGGGUGAAAUCCGUAGAUAUUGGGAGGAAUACCAGCGGCGAAGGCGGCCCUCUGGACGAUGACUGACGCUCAGACGCGAAAGCGUGGGGAGCAAACAGG
rnacentral:rRNA from 1 species